rnacentral:rRNA from 1 species
GACGAACGCUGGCGGCGUGCUUAACACAUGCAAGUCGAACGGGCCUUGUCCCCUUUUUUUUGGGGGUGGGGUUAGUGGCGAACGGGUGAGUAACACGUGAGUAACCUGCCCCUCACUUCUGGAUAACCGCUUGAAAGGGUGGCUAAUACGGGGUGUUCUGGCCUGCUCGCAUGGGUGGGUUUGGAAAGAUUCGACCGGUUUUGGUUGUUUUGGUGGGGGAUGGGCUCGCGGCCUAUCAGCUUGUUGGUGGGGUGAUGGCCUGCCAAGGCUUUGACGGGUAGCCGGCCUGAGAGGGGGGGCGGUCACACUGGGACUGAGACACGGCCCAGACUCCUACGGGAGGCAGCAGUGGGGAAUAGUGCACAAUGGGCGCAAGCCUGAUGCAGCGACGCCGCGUGAGGGAUGGAGGCCUUCGGGUUGUGAACCUCUUUCGCCAGUGAAGAAGGUCCUGCUCUUUGUGGUGGGGUUGACGGUAGCUGGGUUAAUGAAGCGCCGGCUAACUACGUG